UGUGUUUGAUUUGAUAUACCAAUCAGCCGUGGACGCCCGACCAUAAAAAUGGUAUAUAUAGAUUUAACCCUAAUCAGGUAUCGUUAAAUAUCGUUAAAUCGUCGAGAACGUUCUGUCAGACGAUCAAACGAUAACUAUUCAACAAGUCGGUAAAUCACAUCGAAAACCCAAGUUCUGGUCGCACUGAGAAGCUCUGGAUGCCUUGAGGAGGGUUCACCAGCUCUGCUUCAACAACGUUGACAUGGGUAAGGCAUUUUAUUCUAUUUUUGUACACCAAACACUGUAAAUAUCUUGAAGAACCUUUGCCUUCUGUUUGGAUCAUGGUUUCUUUAUGAACAUAUUCACUGAACAUGUUGCUACCCUAUUACAGAUCUUACCAACGUCAUCAACAGUCAAGGCAGACAUCUUUCUUCAAGAAAUCUGCCCAAAAGGAAAAACACUGAAAUUGGUAAGUAAUGCUUAUGUGCAAUGUCGUUAACUAUAGUUCAUUUAUUGCAUCGGCACUAUUAGGUAGAGUUGAGCUACGAACGCGAAAAUAAACUGGUACGGCGAAUGUAGGGGUGAGGUACUCCAUCGGCUUCGUUGCGCUGGGGGCUUUUACCACCACCGACUGUGUUGCCAAUUUAAAUUUCGUUUCGGAAUCAAAGCACGGUGCAUGUUGUUUUUUUUUUAUCAAAAUGUCAACAUGAGCUAGGAAAGGAAGAGCGGAAGAGCCAGGGCUCUGCGAACAUACGCGGAUUGUGUAGCCUUUAUAUAUAUAUGGCUUCGCGUGGCAUUAUAUUGGUGUUACGUACGUAGUAUACCAGGACCAGUAAAGCUGCAAGACUUUGUCGGCCAGUCAAAAAGUGGACGCUGCAAUCCAAGGUGAAACUUUCUUUCUCAUGGUGGGGCACACGCAUGAAGAUGUGGAUCAACCGUUUAGUGUAUUUGCAAGGGAACUUAGACAGAAGCCUGCAACAACCCGCGAUGCCCUCCUUCAAGAUUGGGGACAUCCGGACACCCACCACCAAGCUAUCAGACUUCAAGCCGUUCAUGCCUGCCCCAAGGGAAGCGACAACCCUCCCAACUAAAGUUCAAGAGGCAAUAGAGAAGAACAAUGAAAAACUGCAAAAACAAUCAAAGAUCACUCUGACAAAGCACCGAAGACAAGCGUCAGUAUCAGAACAAUAAAGAAG